AAGAUUUUUCGAAAAGCCCUAGCCUGUUAUCACUUAAUUUUGUUUUGUAGGCUGAUUUCUUGUAGUCGUGCCAUGUGAACUCAUUGUACAAACUUUCUUCUCCUUGUUCCAUUAUUGAGGAUAAAGGUGUAACCUUCUCAGUCAAAGGUGGUCCUCCGAAGAAAAUCAUUGAAAUUCGAGAAUUCAAACUGCUUGACAGAACUCUGUGCCUUACACUCCUAAAUCUCCCGUUGGUAAGCACCUGCACACCAUGCCUCAAUUCUGAGAAAGUGAUUUUUUGAUUAAAAAAAAAAAGAAAAAAGAAGAAGAAGAAGCAAAUAGUCCAUUAUUGAGGAUAAAGGUGUAACCUUCUCAGUCAAAGGUGGUCCUCCGAAGAAAAUCAUUGAAAUUCGAGAAUUCAAACUGCUUGACAGAACUCUGUGCCUUACACUCCUAAAUCUCCCGUUGGUAAGCACCUGCACACCAUGCCUCA
rnacentral:lncRNA from 1 species